UCCCGUCAAUUCAUUUGAGUUUUAACCUUGCGGCCGUACUCCCCAGGCGGUCAACUUCACGCGUUAGCUUCGUUACCAAGGAAUUGCUUCCCCGACAACCAGUUGACAUAGUUUAGAGCGUGGACUACCAGGGUAUCUAAUCCUGUUUGCUCCCCACGCUUUCGUGCAUGAGCGUCAGUGUUAGCCCAGGGGGCUGCCUUCGCCAUCGGUGUUCCUCCACAUCUCUACGCAUUUCACCGCUACACCAGGAAUUCCACCUUCCCCUACCUGCCUCAAGUCCUCCAGUAUCGAGUGCGGUUUCAGGGUUGAGCCCUGAGAUUUCACACCCGACUUAAAGGACCGCCUACGAGCUCUUUACGCCCAAUAAUUCCGGACAACGCUUGCCCCCUACGUAUUACCGCGGCUGCUGGCACGUAGUUAGCCGGUCCUUCUUCCUGCCGUACCGUCAAGCGCCGAAGCGCCUUCUUCCGACAGAAAAGGGGUUUACGCCCCGAAGGGUGUCGUCCCCCACGCGGCGUUGCUCCGUCAGGGUUGCCCCCAUUGCGGAAGAUUCCUUGCUGCUGCCUCCCGUAGGAGUCGGGGCCGUGUCUCAGUCCCCGUGUGGCUGGCCGUCCUCUCAGACCAGCUACCGAUCACCGCCUUGGGAAGCCGUUACCCCCCCAACCAGCUAAUCGGCCGCAGGCGCCUCCCGGGGCGGGUCCGAAGACCCUUUCCUGACCGGUCCCACCGACCGGCCAACGUACGCGGAAUUGCCCGGCGUUUCCGCCGGCUAUCCCCCGCCCCGGGGCAGCUUGCCCACGUGCUCCGCACCCGUCCGCCACGUGAGGCCGCCGAAGCGGCCCCCGUCCGACUUGCAUGCAUUAGGCACGCCGCCAGCGUUGAUCCUGAGCCAUAAUCAAACUCU
rnacentral:rRNA from 1 species